rnacentral:rRNA from 1 species
UGAAUACGAGACGCUAAGGCGUCGAAGUAGUGUAUGUCAUACUUCCAAGAAAAGCUUGCACUGUCAUAAGUAAAAAAUGCCUGUACCAUAACCGACACAGGUGGGUAGGUAGAGUAUACUAAGGGGCGCGAGAUAACUCUCUCUAAGGAACUCGGCAAAAUAACUCCGUAACUUCGGGAGAAGGAGUACCUUAUUCUAUAAGGUUGCAAUAACAAGAUCCAAGCAACUGUUUAUCAAAAACACAGGUCUCCGCUAAGUCGUAAGACGAUGUAUGGGGGCUGACGCCUGCCCAGUGCCAGAAGGUUAAAGAAGUCGGUUAGCAUUAGCGAAGCUGGUAACUGAAGCCCUGGUGAACGGCGGCCGUAACUAUAACGGUCCUAAGGUAGCGAAAUUCCUUGUCGGGUAAGUUCCGACCCGCACGAAAGGCGUAAUGAUUUGGAUACUGUCUCGGAGAGGGGCUCGGUGAAAUAGACUUGUCUGUGAAGAUGCGGACUACCUGCACCAGGACAGAAAGACCCUAUGAAGCUUUACUGUAACUUGAAAUUGAAAUUGGACUUUAUUCGCGCAGUAUAGGUGGGAGGUUUGAUUAUAAUCUUGCGGGAUUAUUGGAGCCAUCAGUGAGAUACCACUCUUGUAAUGUUAGAUUUCUAACUUUGAAUCAUUAUCUGGUCAAAGGACAGUUUCAGGCGGGCAGUUUGACUGGGGCGGUCGCCUCCCAAACGGUAACGGAGGCGUACAAAGGUUUCCUCUGAACGGGUAGAAAUCGUAUCUAGAGUGUAAAGGCAUAAGGAAGCUUGACUGUGAGACCUACAAGUCGAACAGGGACGAAAGUCGGUCUUAGUGAUCUGACGGUACUGAGUGGAAAGGCCGUCACUCAACGGAUAAAAGUUACUCUAGGAUAACAGGCUGAUCUCCCCCAAGAGUUCACAUCGACGGGGAGGUUUGGCACCUCGAUGUCGGCCCAUCGCAUCCUGGGGCGGUAGUACGUCCCAAGGGUUGGGCUGUUCGCCCAUGAAAGCGGUACGCGAGCUGGGUUCAGAACGUCGUGAGACAGUUCGGUCCAUAUCCGGUGUAGGCGUUAGAAUAUUGAGAGGAGCCUUCUUUAGUACGAGAGGACCGAGAAGGACAUACCUCUGGUGUACCAGUUAUCGUGCCAACGGUAAACGCUGGGUAGCUAUGUAUGGAGUGGAUAACGGCUGAAAGCAUCUAAGUGGGAAGCCCACCUCAAGAUAAGUAUUCGC